rnacentral:lncRNA from 13 species
GUGACGCGUGGGUCUUGAUGGCUGCACCCUCGGUUUUGUUUAUCCUUGGGGUGGGUCAAAUUUACGGGAUUUCCUGACUGCCGUGUGCAGUUCGGGGCUGGGCUCAAUGUGGGCGGGGUCAAACGUCGGGGCUGGGCUCAAUGUGGGUGGAGUCAAACACGUUAAACGCGAACCCUUCCCGUCCCCUUCAAGAUCACCCAAGUUGAGGUAAACGUCGAAGUUGUCAACGUCAACGAAAGCGAAUCUUAAUCGAACCUAACCUAAUGGAUAAAAAUACCGACCAUGGAAGUGUUCACAGAAACAUUACUCUGAUAUUGUCCCCUGGACCUUGGAGGACUUUUAUGUGGAUGAUGUUCAGGUUAGAUAUUCUUUAAAUUAUUCCACUGAACUGUACCAUUUGAUUGUCAUUAUAUUAUGUCAUAUAUUUGUCCUAUUUUCUGUAAUAACAUAUGAAAAGUUAUUUCUGUGCUUGCAGCAUGCAAAGCACACUAUUAUUGCUCGUAUUUUUUCUUGUUUAUUAUUCUUCACACUUUUUGGGACUUAUUUCCUACAAUUUGUAGACUAAAUACAGAAUUCAUACAUCAAACUCCUGCAUAGCUGGAUGCUGAUGUGACAUGC